rnacentral:snoRNA from 1 species
AUUCUAUGAUGGGGACAUUCUAGGAUGUAGUCUUGAAAGUGCUCCCAAGCUUCUAGAACAGAUUCAUCAUGUUGUUGCUGAAAACUUGUAAUCUUCCCACGGAGAGC